rnacentral:rRNA from 1 species
UUGGAGGGCAAGUCUGGUGCCAGCAGCCGCGGUAAUUCCAGCUCCAAUAGCGUAUAUUAGAGUUGUUGCAGUUAAAAAGCUCGUAGUUGAAUUUUGAGACCGGCUUACUGGUCGUGCUUUUGUGCGUACUGGUAGAAUCGGUUUCUCCUUUCUGACGAACUUUAGUGCCAUUAAUUUGGUGCUUUAGGGAAUCAGGACUGUUACUUUGAAAAAAUUAGAGUGUUUAAAGCAGGCUCACGCUUGAAUACAUUAGCAUGGAAUAACGGAAUAGGACGUUUGAUUCUAUUUUGUUGGUUUCUAGGAUCGACGUAAUGAUUAAUAGGGAUAGUUGGGGGCAUUAGCAUUCAAUUGUCAGAGGCGAAAUUCUUGGAUUUAUUGAAGACUAACUACUGCGAAAGCAUUAGCCAAGGAUGUUUUCAUUAAUCAAGAACGAAAGUUAGGGGAUCGAAGACGAUCAGAUACCGUCGCAGUCUUAACCAUAAACUAUGUCGACCAGGGAUCGGAUGAUGUUAUUUUUAAUGACUCAUUCGGCGCCUUACGGGAAAC